AGUCAAGUAAUUAAGUGCAUGUGGUGGAUGCCUUGGCAGUCAGAGGCGAUGAAAGACGUGAUAGCCUGCGAAAAGCUCCGGGGAGGCGGCAAAUAUCCUUUGAUCCGGAGAUGUCUGAAUGGGGGAACCCACCUACUUUAAGGUAGGUAUUGCAACAUGAAUACAUAGUGUUGCAAGGCGAACGAGGGGAAGUGAAACAUCUCAGUACCCUUAGGAAAAGAAAUCAAUUGAGAUUCCCUCAGUAGCGGCGAGCGAACGGGGAUCAGCCCAUUAAGUUAUGUGUGUUUUAGUGGAACGCUCUGGGAAGUGCGAACGUAGAGGGUGAUAUUCCCGUACACGAAAGGGCACACAUAAUGAUGACGAGUAGGGCGAGGCACGUGAAACCUUGUCUGAAUAUGGGGGGACCAUCCUCCAAGGCUAAAUACUCCUGACUGACCGAUAGUGAACCAGUACCGUGAGGGAAAGGCGAAAAGAACCCCUGUGAGGGGAGUGAAAUAGAUCCUGAAACCGCAUGCAUACAAGCAGUGGGAGCACCUUCGUGGUGUGACUGCGUACCUUUUGUAUAAUGGGUCAGCGACUUAUAUUCAGUAGCGAGGUUAACCGUAUAGGGGAGCCGUAGAGAAAUCGAGUCUUAAUAGGGCGUUUAGUUGCUGGGUAUAGACCCGAAACCAGGCGAUCUAUCCAUGAGCAGGUUGAAGGUUGGGUAACACUAACUGGAGGACCGAACCCACUGUCGUUGAAAAGCCAGGGGAUGACUUGUGGAUAGGGGUGAAAGGCUAAUCAAGCCUGGUGAUAGCUGGUUCUCCCCGAAAGCUAUUUAGGUAGCGCCUCGGACGAAUACCAUAGGGGGUAGAGCACUGUUUCGGCUAGGGGGUCAUCCCGACUUACCAAACCGAUGCAAACUCCGAAUACCUAUGAGUACUAUCCGGGAGACAGACUGCGGGUGCUAACGUCCGUAGUCAAGAGGAAAACAAUCCAGACCGCCAGCUAAGGCCCCAAAAUCAUAGUUAAGUGGGAAACGAUGUGGGAAGGCAUAGACAGCUAGGAGGUUGGCUUAGAAGCAGCCACCCUUUAAAGAAAGCGUAAUAGCUCACUAGUCGAGUCGGCCUGCGCGGAAGAUGUAACGGGGCUAAAACUAUGUGCCGAAGCUGCGGAUGUAUACUUUGUAUACGUGGUAGGGGAGCGUUCUGUAAGCCGAUGAAGGUGUGUUGAGAAGCAUGCUGGAGGUAUCAGAAGUGCGAAUGCU
rnacentral:rRNA from 1 species